GGAUGUGAGGGUGAUCUGGCUGCUACAUCUGUCACCCCAUUGAUCGCUAGGGUUGACCCACUGAUCUGGCUGGCUAGGUGGGUGUCCCCUUCCUCCCUUACUGGUCCAUGUGCGUCCCUCCCGAAGCUGUGUGCUUGGUCGAAGAGGACAGCCUUCCCCGAAUAGAGACCUUUGGUCGAGGGUAUACGAGUAGCUGCGCUCCCCUGCUGGAACUCCAAAUUAACAUGGAGAAAUGGUCCAUAAUAUAUUGCCAGUUGGAAAAGUAAAGGAGAUCAUAUGAUAUGGUCUAUAUAGGGACGACUUAUAAAAGAUUAAAUUCCU
ensembl:misc_RNA 7SK 7SK RNA